UGGGGGUGGUAAAGGGGCGAUUCCGUGGCAGUCGGCGAACCGAAGCCGCUCUGUACGGGCGUCAUACUAUUCGCGCUAUUCCGCGAUGCAUUUUCUUCUUAAUCAUCUAUUUUCGCGAGAAAGAUGAAAGGACAAAGGGAUAAACAGUGUUAAUAAAUGAACGAAUAAAAAUAAUAAGUUAAUA
rnacentral:lncRNA from 1 species